GGCUGCAUCAGCUCUAUCGGAGAGCGCCUGGUUUCGGACCAGGAGUAAGCGGGUUCGAAUCCCGCAUGCAUUA
rnacentral:tRNA from 2 species